UUUAUAGAGACUGAGUCCUCCAU
rnacentral:snRNA from 1 species